CUCGUAGGCGGCCAACUAAGUCGGAUGUGAAAUCCCCAGGCUUAACCUGGGAACUGCAUCCGAUACUGGAUGGCUUGAAUUCGGGAGAGGGAUGCAGAAUUCCAGGUGUAGCGGUGAAAUGCGUAGAUAUCUGGAGGAAUACCGGUGGCGAAGGCGGCAUCCUGGACCGACAUUGACGCUGAUGAGCGAAAGCCAGGGGAGCAAACGG
rnacentral:rRNA from 1 species